CUUAAAAUGAUGUUUUAAAGGAACAAAUUUGUUUUGUGGAAUAUUUUUAUAAACACAAUUCCCAGUUGAAAAAGUGGCUUGAUUAGAAUAAAAAGUAAACAAGCAUUUCAACCACUGAAAGGGACUCUAAGUAGAUUUCAUUAUUACUACCUUGUUCCUAUUCCACUGUUUCCUUCCCUACUUCUGUAUUGAGAUGAGUUCUUGAAGUUCAUCUCCCAUCAUGCCACUACCUCUGUAAACAUUCCCUUCUUGAAAGAAUUGUGUUCAACACUUUGUGAUCAUAUUAUUUUUUUUCUCAUCUUUCAACAUUUUAUUAAAAGCAGAUACUCUUGCCACAUUAGACUACAUGAGCAUUUCUAUAUAGGCUUUGUCUAGAAAAUCAUGGACCUUUCUCUUCCCUUUCUCUAUCAAAUCUUUGCAUUGUCAAAUGCUAUCUUCUUUAUAAGUCAUUUUCUAUCCUCC
rnacentral:lncRNA from 1 species